UACGUAGGGUGCAAGCAUUAAUCGGAUUUAUUGGGCGUAAAGGGCGCGUAGGCGGGAGAGUCAGUCAGAUGUGAAAUCCCGGAGCUUAACUCCGGAACAGCAUUUGAAACUUCUCUUCUAGAGGGUAGGCGGAGAAAACGGAAUUCCACAAGUAGCGGUGAAAUGCGUAGAUAUGUGGAAGAACACCAGUGGCGAAGGCGGUUUUCUAGCUUACACCUGACGCUGAGGCGCGAAAGCAAGGGGAGCAAACAGG
rnacentral:rRNA from 1 species